GUCGAAUCCCUUUUCUACUUUGUUGCUGUGAAAUUCGGACUGAAUUGGUGGAUUUUGAUCGUAGAGCUUGGAGUUAGCUCGAGUACUAGACUUGGAGGAUUCCAGUUGAUCCAGCAGGGAUCACUUUGGUUCGAGGCUUCGUUCGCUGCCAGGAGCUAGCUUCUUGAGGUGGGUGUACAUCGGUUUUACUCCUAAGUUCAUAAUUGUCGGCAUGUAUAGGUUUCGAUUUUUGGAUACUCUAUUCUAGCUCAAAUUUAUAGAUUAUAUUGUAGAUUGCCAAUCUGAAUUUGGAGCAUGUGGUACUAAAUUGAGUAGUUUAUACAUGUUGGACUUGGAAUUUGAAUUAGGAGAAAACCUGCGAUUUGGACCUGUCACCUGUUUAAACUACCUGAUUUAGCCUUAGGGGCCGUUGUAUGAUUUUAUACUGUUGCAGUAUCAUCAUAGCAAGUAUCCCAGGUAGUUUAGAUUUCAGUUACACUCACGCUUGGAUGCCGAGUGAAUUUUUACAGUAGCGUUUAGGCUGUUCCGGACUAUUGGGUGCCGUCGGGAUUGACGGUGGACCCGUAUCGCCGUUUUGGCGUCAGAUUGUGCCGAGGGCACGUGACCUGUUGGUUGUUAAACUAGUGAGAGUCGUUUACUUGACCUUAGCCUGUGAGAGCGGUGUGAACUUACAGAGUUACUUGUAAACUCGUUGGGUCGCGCCCAUGAAUGCCAUUCCGGAAUGAGGUUUCAGUGCGAUGAGUGUCGCAGUUUUUGUUGUACAGUUCUUAAGCCGGCUACCCACGGGGAGGUGUAUGGCGCAGCUUGAUACAGGCAGGGUGGGUCCGUUUUGGGCAGCCCGGGUGAGAUAGUGAGGUCGUGACGUGAGUGGGGUCUUAGCCAUCCUGUUGGACCUUUUUCGGGACCGGCUACUCUUGAGAUACGAUGUAGUCUAAUUAGGCGAGACGGGUGUAUUCACAGUCUCUAGAGAGUUUUCUCCGCCGGUUACUCUUGAGAUACGGUGUAGUCUAGUAGAUGAGACGGGUGUAUUCACAGUCUCUAGAGGAUUUUUCUGCCGGUUACUCUUGAGCUACGGUGUUAUCUAAUUAGACGGGAUGGGUGUAUUCACAGUUCCUAGAGAGUUUUCUCUACCAGCUAUUCUUGGAGUAGGACUCGGGUUCGAUCCGACAGGCGGGACGGGUGUGUUCACAGUCCCUAGUGAGACUGAGCAAGUUUUUACUUUUCCUACAGUUGGUUAGCAUAGAGUAGGAUAGUGUAGUGACUAGUAGCUGUAGAGUCUAUUCCAGCAUUUACUACUACCUUUGCUCCCUACUGUAGACUUAGUGGGUGGACCGAUAUUGUUUUGGGCGGCACCCACUGAGGACUACUUGUUUUUACAGUAGUUCUCACGCCUAGUUGUUACCCCUGUUUUGCAGAGCCACAGGUUUCGGCUGCUGCGCCUUCCGCAGAUCAGGUUCGAGGCAAAGGCGUCGCGAGUUAGAGCCCUACCCGACG
rnacentral:lncRNA from 1 species